GUGGUUAUAUCUUAAUUUGUAUAUAAUUUUAUCUGCUAUAUAUAAUUUAAAGGCUACUGGUAAUGAAAUUCAAGUCUGUUUCUACAGGAAGAACUCGUUAAACUGUAAAAUAAGAAGUCAUUUCACAACGUUUUUAUCUUUUUCGUUCUUGAGAUAUUUCAGGUUGUUUGAUCAGUAUGCAAAUAAACAAAUUUAUCAGCUGAGGGUUGCGAUUGCUGAAUAAAUAAGCCAAAUGUUAUUAUUAUAACCUUUUGUUUUCUUUGCUCGGAACAAAGACAUCAAUCUGUCAACCCUGCAAAUCUAUGACUGACGCACAAGCUGGUAAAAUAUUGUCAAAGAUUGCAGUCACGCCAAAGUCAUAAGGCCCUCUGUUCAAAAUAGACGAAAUAUUAUAAGUUUGUAUCGAUGAUUCCAUUGACUAUAAUCUUGCAUAUAGAUUUUUUGAGCCCUGUGGACUGUCAAAACCACUGAUCUGGUCAAAACGUUUACCCAGCGUGACGUCAUCAUAUUUACAUUCAAAUAAAUUACUGAAAUAUCUUCUUUCUACAGAGUUCUUUCAGUGUAAACAUGCUUAAAUUUUGUUGCCCUUACCAUAAACGGAAUAUUUUUAUUCGUGAUUAAAAUGGAAAUCAUGUUAAAUUAAUUAAGAAAACGGUGCAUGAACAGAAAUCAUUCGAUGUUUUUGUAUCUUCAUUUUAACCACACUGUAAGAUACGGUGAUACAUGGUUUUUUUGCGAAUUUGGCCAAUCAGAAAUGUUCCGGGGAGAAUCAUAUUCAUUGCCAUUCUGAGUCCAUCCGUCAGCAGUUGUUCCUGUCUUCAGCACGCCCACAGACAUGCAGUAGUCGUUCUUUCUCGCAUUGCCCGCUUUGUUGUAUGUAGCUGAAGGAUACGAGCCGCCAUGUUGGAGGAACGGCAUGAUCCCAUACUUGUUUUGGAAACAUGGC
rnacentral:lncRNA from 1 species